UCCGGUUUGGCACCGGCAGUCUCCAAUGAGUCCCCGGCAUUACCCGCUGGCAACAUUGGACAGGGGUUGCGCUCGCUGCGCCACUUAAGGCAACACCUCACGACACGAGCUGACGACAGCCAUGCACCACCUGUGCUGGACCCCGAAGGACACCGUAUCUCUACGGCUUUUCCCAGCAUGUCAAGCCCAGGUAAGGUUCUUCGCGUCGCCUCGAAUUAAGCAACAUGCUCCGCCGCUUGUGCGGGCCCCCGUCAAUUCCUUUGAGUUUUAAUCUUGCGACCGUACUCCCCAGGCGGGGCACUUAAUGCGUUAGCUGCGGCACCCAGGGGGUCAAUACCCCGGACACCUAGUGCCCAUCGUUUACAGCGUGGACUAC
rnacentral:misc_RNA from 1 species